rnacentral:rRNA from 1 species
GACGGGGACCCGCACAAGCGGUGGAGCAUGUGGUUUAAUUCGAAGCAACGCGAAGAACCUUACCAAAUCUUGACAUCCUCUGACCCCUCUAGAGAUAGAGUUUUCCCCUUCGGGGGACAGAGUGACAGGUGGUGCAUGGUUGUCGUCAGCUCGUGUCGUGAGAUGUUGGGUUAAGUCCCGCAACGAGCGCAACCCUUAAGCUUAGUUGCCAUCAUUAAGUUGGGCACUCUAAGUUGACUGCCGGUGACAAACCGGAGGAAGGUGGGGAUGACGUCAAAUCAUCAUGCCCCUUAUGAUUUGGGCUACACACGUGCUACAAUGGACAAUACAAAGGGUAGCGAAACCGCGAGGUCAAGCAAAUCCCAUAAAGUUGUUCUCAGUUCGGAUUGUAGUCUGCAACUCGACUAUAUGAAGCUGGAAUCGCUAGUAAUCGUAGAUCAGCAUGCUACGGUGAAUACGUUCCCGGGUCUUGUACACACCGCCCGUCACACCACGAGAGUUUGUAACACCCGAAGCCGGUGGAGUAACCAUUUGGAGCUAGCCGUCGAAGGUGGGACAAAUGAUUGGGGUGAAGUCGUAACAAGGUAACC